AUUGAACGCUGGCGGAAUGCUUUACACAUGCAAGUCGAACGGUAGAGGGGGGCAACCCCUUGAGAGUGGCGAACGGGUGAGUAAUAUAUCGGAACGUGCCCAGUCGUGGGGAUAACGUAGCGAAAGUUACGCUAAUACCGCAUACGAUCUAAGGAUGAAAGCGGGGGACUCGCAAGAGCCUCGCGCGAUUGGAGCGGCCGAUAUCAGAUUAGGUAGUUGGUGGGGUAAAGGCUCACCAAGCCAACGAUCUGUAGCUGGUCUGAGAGGACGACCAGCCACACUGGGACUGAGACACGGCCCAGACUCCUACGGGAGGCAGCAGUGGGGAAUUUUGGACAAUGGGCGCAAGCCUGAUCCAGCAAUGCCGCGUGCAGGAUGAAG
rnacentral:rRNA from 1 species